rnacentral:rRNA from 1 species
AUUGAACGCUGGCGGCAGGCCUAACACAUGCAAGUCGAGCGGAUGAAGGGAGCUUGCUCCUGGAUUCAGCGGCGGACGGGUGAGUAAUGCCUAGGAAUCUGCCUGGUAGUGGGGGAUAACGUCCGGAAACGGGCGCUAAUACCGCAUACGUCCUGAGGGAGAAAGUGGGGGAUCUUCGGACCUCACGCUAUCAGAUGAGCCUAGGUCGGACUAGCUAGUUGGUGGGGUAAAGGCCUACCAAGGCGACGAUCCGUAACUGGUCUGAGAGGAUGAUCAGUCACACUGGAACUGAGACAAGGUACAGACUACUACGGGAGGCAGCAGUGGGGAAUAUUGGACAAUGGGCGAAAGCCUGAUCCAGCCAUGCCGCGUGUGUGAAGAAGGUCUUCGGAUUGUAAAGCACUUUAAGUUGGGAGGAAGGGCAGUAAGUUCAUACCUUGCUGUUUUGACGUUACCAACAGAAUAAGCACCGGCUAACUUCGUG